rnacentral:rRNA from 1 species
UACGGAGGGAGCUAGCGUUGUUCGGAAUUACUGGGCGUAAAGAGCGUGUAGGCGGUUAGGUAGGUCCGUUGUGAAAACUCGAGGCUCAACCUCGAGACGCCGAUGGAAACCAUCUGACUAGAGUCCGGAAGAGGAGAGUGGAAUUCCCGGUGUAGCGGUGAAAUUCGUAGAUAUUGGGAAGAACACCAGUGGCGAAGGCGGCUCACUGGCUCGUAACUGACGCUCAGGCGCGACAGCGUGGGGAUCAAACAGG